GGGGCUAUGGUGUAGCUUGGUCUAGCAUCAAUGGUUUGGGACCAUUAGACCCCGGUUCAAAUCCGGGUAGCCCCA
rnacentral:tRNA from 1 species